rnacentral:rRNA from 1 species
GUGGGGAAUAUUGCACAAUGGGCGAAAGCCUGAUGCAGCCAUGCCGCGUGUAUGAAGAAGGCCUUCGGGUUGUAAAGUACUUUCAGCGGGGAGGAAGGCGAUAAGGUUAAUAACCUUGUCGAUUGACGUUACCCGCAGAAGAAGCACCGGCUAACUCCGUGCCAGCAGCCGCGGUAAUACGGAGGGUGCAAGCGUUAAUCGGAAUUACUGGGCGUAAAGCGCACGCAGGCGGUCUGUCAAGUCGGAUGUGAAAUCCCCGGGCUCAACCUGGGAACUGCAUUCGAAACUGGCAGGCUAGAGUCUUGUAGAGGGGGGUAGAAUUCCAGGUGUAGCGGUGAAAUGCGUAGAGAUCUGGUGGAAUACCGGUGGCGAAGGCGGCCCCCUGGACAAAGACUGACGCUCAGGUGCGAAAGCGUGGGGAGCAAACAGGAUUAGAUACCCUAGUAGUCC